rnacentral:lncRNA from 1 species
GUUCCACCAAAAAGGCACGUUUAAUCAUUUUUAUGAAUUCCUUUUAAAACAUUGAUAUAGUUUUUUAAUAUAACCGAUACAGUCAAAUAUGAUAUAGUUUUAUGUAUUCUCUGUUAAACAUUAUUUUUUUGCACUUGUUGUCAACUGCUUAGUAUCAAUUUAUUCAAUUUUAGGUGAUACAAAAAGAAUUUCAUCCAGGUGAUAACUUACAUAAAGAAAAGAGUAGUAUCAGAAUUCAUGAGGUAUGUGAGUGAUUUUUUGGUUCAGGAUGUACUAGAUGCUGGCUUACCCCCACAGAUAGAAUUUCCCCUUAAAUCAGGUACCUCUUUUAUAUCCCUUGCAUUUUAUAACCCAAUAAAGCACACCCGUGACAUUUAUGGGAUUUUUGCCCAGACCUUGGCUACAGAUGGUAGAUUAUGAUUUCCCAUUUGAGGACGGAAGAAUAUUUGGUCAAUUGGCAUCCCGCUUUCUUGCAUAAAGUGAUGUUUCUGUUAUCUGUUUAGUAUUUGGUCAGAAGGAUUUGUGUUGUUUGAAAAUUUUAUUAUUCAUAGUCUGCAAUCAUAAAUUGUCUUCUGUUUCCCUUUUCUUAUCAUAGUCUCUUUCUAUUUGAUUGCAUACGAUUUUAGUUGUAUUUGCUGAAGUUAACGGAACUAGUUUCUUAUCUUUUUUAAAUGGUAAAACUUUGAUAAGUUACCCAAUUCAAAUAUGCUGCUUGUUCUCUGCUUCUCCUG